AGAUUGAACGCUGGCGGCAUGCCUAACACAUGCAAGUCGAACGGGAGUAGCAAUACUCUAGUGGCGGACGGGUGAGGAAUACGUAGGAAUUUGCCCUUAAGUGGGGGAUAACCCGGGGAAACCCGGAUUAAUACCGCAUGACCUCGAAAGAGCAAAGUGGGGGAUCGCAAGACCUCACGCUUUUGGAGAAGCCUACGUCGGAUUAGCUAGUUGGUGAGGUAAUGGCUCACCAAGGCGACGAUCCCGUAACUGGGUCGUAGAGGAGU
rnacentral:rRNA from 1 species